rnacentral:lncRNA from 1 species
UGAAAGUGCUGCAGAGAAGAUGAGCCAACAAGAAAGUGAAAAAGUAACUAUCCAUUUGCUAAGAACAAGUUCCAUGGAUAAUGCGGGGUCCCUAGUGCACCAAAAAGGGCCAAGAUAUAGAAUCCAUCUACUAAACAAAAAAGGGUUAAAGACCCCAGAUGAAGAAAAGAUUAAAGUUUAUUGAAAGACUCUCCCUAAAAAAUCACUUGGGAGAAUCUCUCCAGUUCCUUGCUUACCAAUCAGUUAAUACCAAAUUCAACCUCGCAAACAAGCAUAUCGUUUGAUAUGAGAUCUUGGGUUUAAUUUAUUGCAUUGAUCAGAUAUCUUUGUUUAAUCCCAUCUCCUUGAACCAAGACAAAAUAAAAAAAUCUCCACUAAAUAACAUGGGAAGAAAAGAACAAACUUCUAAAGUGUUAAAAGAAUAAUAAAAAGGGGAGUGAAAGUGCUGAAAUGGAAGUAUAAGAAGACUAGAAGGAAGAGAGAGAGAGAGACAGAGACAGAGAGAGAGAGGGAGACGGAAAACAAAAACCUUUUGCGUGGAUAUCUAAUGGUGUACUGUCUUGUGGGGUUUCGGUUAUUUUCUUCAUUAGGUAAGAUAGAAGAAGGUAGUGAAAAGUUCAGAGCUUUUUUUUUUCCUAGAGGAAAAAGUUCAGAGCUUUAAGCAGAAGAAAAAUGGAGAUAAAACCAGGAAGGGUGAAGAUAAUUUGGCGGAUGGGAAAAGAACCGCUUAGUCCUUUAUUUGUAACUUCUGCUCUGCGUGUUCACUCCUCUUAGCCUUCCAUUCUGCCUUGAGACUCAAAGAGACAAGGGACAAGAAAAUCAUAACAACUGCUAAAACUUUGAAAAUUAAUUUAG